GGGGAUUUAGCUCAGCGGUAAAGCGCUUGCCUAGCAGGCACAAGGCCCUGGGUUCGAUCCCCAGCUCCG
rnacentral:tRNA from 1 species